AGAGAAAAAUUUAACAGAUCCUCUUUCAAUCACCGUCGUCAUUCUCUCUUUUUCUCCUUCCUCGAUUACUCGUUUUCUCCUCCACCGUGCUUGCUCUACUAGGGUUUUUGCCCCUCUUUCACUCACUGUUGCUUGCUCUAUGAUCCUCUUCAUCCGUAGUUUCGCUCUUUCUCUGAUCCUCACAGCCGCAACACGGUUCCGCCGCCUCCGCCGCAACACGGUUCUGCCGCCGUAUCCGUCGCCGCACCCGUCGCAACAGGGUUCGGCCGCCGCACCGCAACACUCGGGUCCACCAUUUCAUUGGUUUUUGCCGCCACUUUGUCCUAUUCUUCACCAGCGACUCUGAUCUUUGUCCUUCUUCCUCAACCUCUGUCUUUGCGACCUACUCCUUUAAGAUUAAGGGUGGACAAGAAGUAGAAACCAGAACAUGAUCUUCACAUACAUGUAUUUAAGAGGUAAAAGGGAGAUGAUACGACUUCCAUUGGAGACCAAAUUGGAGACUGUGGAGAUCGCUUAGACUGGGGCUUUGUCAAAACUUCUAAUGCGCCAAUGGCUUAACAUGACCACCUAUUUGUUCGUUUACCAGGUUCGGCACGAAAUCAUAAAUAAGCUCUACCAAGGAUUGCCAAGCAUUGGGUACUGACUUUCCUCCACCCUUUUUAGUCAGAUCGCUGGCCCUUGUCUUGGCGAGUAACCUGUACCGUUAGCUUUGCCAGCUGUAACCGAUGCCACAAAGGUUGAAAACUGAGAUUCCUUGAUGCCGUUCACUUGACGUGAGGUCAUUCCUUUCCAUUCUUUCAAGGCAAGGGGCGGCCUGAUUCGACAUUGUUGUUUACUCUGAUCUGGUCGAGGUGGUUUUCGUUUACCAGCGUGUGGAAAGUUUUCAAACAACAAAUGAAAGACAUGCUUCAUCAUAGUAAUCAAAGGGUAUCGGGUUGAAAAAGCCUAGUGCUUCUCUUUAUACGUUUUCAUGCCAGAUUGCAUAUGUAAACAGGAAAAAGCAAGUAGAAAUUGUAGCUCUAGGAAAUGUAUGGUGUUUUGAGUGUAAAUAUAUGGCCUUUAGGAACACGUUCAAUACCUGUAAUUUAUUUUUGUAUCAUUUAGUUCGAUUUUCUUUUUUCUUUUUAAAUGUGGUAGAGUUAUUUUAAGUAAAGUAUAUAAAAUGGCCACGAAUUAAGUGUUAAUUGUUAUUUUCAUUUAAGCUGAACAAAUGGCACUUAAGUGUACAUUAAAUAAUUGUAAACCUACACAGACACGUUCUUGAUUCCUGAAUGUUGAUUGCUUCAUGAAUCAUUCUUGGAUCCCCGCUGACUGCUGAGCUUAGCAUGGCAAUUUGAUUGCAUGAAGGCUAUAUUGAAGACCUAUAAUUUUGGUUCUUGAUUUACCAAUUAGAGGUAAUCGAUAUUUGCAUGAGGCAUCUACAUGACUACUUCCAAUAAUGGCAUUUUGAGUUUUGAUCUUAUACAUUGCAUUGGAUUUUGUGGUAAAAGUUUGUGGAGUGGCAGCAUGAUAACAUUUUCAGGUUGCACUGUAUAUUGUUACAGCUACAAUUACAGCUAUAUAUAAUGCUUUGUUUCAUUGACCCAAUUCUAGGCUCUAGUUAUAUUUUCCAUUGAUUUGGUUUGAUUGUCUGAAUGAUAGUAGUUUAGUAGUACGAAAUUGUG